AGUGGCGCACGGGUGAGUAACACGUAGGUAAUCUACCUUUGGAUUGGGAAUAACCACGGGAAACUGUGGCUAAUACCGAAUAAUGCAGCGGCACCUAAUGGUGACAGUUGUUAAAGCGGGGGAUCGCAAGACCUCGCGUCUGAAGAGGAGCCUGCGGCAGAUUAGCUAGUUGGUAAGGUAACGGCUUACCAAGGCUAUGAUCUGUAGCCGGCCUGAGAGGGCGGUCGGCCACACUGACACUGACAUACGGGUCAGACUCCUACGGGAGGCAGCAGUCGGGAAUUUUGGGCAAUGGGCGAAAGCCUGACCCAGCAACGCCGCGUGAAGGAUGAAAUCCUUCGGGAUGUAAACUUCGCAAGAACGGGAAGAAUAAGUAAGAGUUAAUAUCUCUUAUGAUGACGGUACUGUUUGUAAGCUCCGGCUAACUCCGUGCCAGCAGCCGCGGUAAUACGGGGGGAGCAAGCGUUGUUCGGAUUUACUGGGCGUAAAGGGCGGGUAGGCGGCCACUGCAAGUCGGUUGUGAAAUCUCCGGGCUUAACCCGGAAAGGUCAAUCGAUACUGCAGGGCUAGAGUGCAGAAGGGGCAACUGGAAUUCUCGGUGUAGCGGUGAAAUGCGUAGAUAUCGAGAGGAACACCUGGCGGCGAAGGCGGGUUGCUGGGCUGACACUGACGCUGAACUGCGAAAGCUAGGGGAGCGAACGGGAUUAGAUACCCCGGUAGUCCUAGCCUUAAACGAUGAAUGCUUGGUGUCUGGGGUUUUAUAGUCCCCGGGUGCCGUCGCUAACGCUUUAAGCAUUCCGCCUGGGGAGUACGGUCGCAAGACUGAAACUCAAAGGAAUUGACGGGGACCCGCACAAGCGGUGGAGCAUGUGGUUUAAUUCGACGCAACGCGAAGAACCUUACCUGGGCUAGAAUGCCUCUGACAACCCUAGAGAUAGGGCCUUCUGGGUAAAACCAGACAGAGUGCAAGGUGCUGCAUGGCUGUCGUCAGCUCGUGUCGUGAGAUGUUGGGUUAAGUCCCGCAACGAGCGCAACCCUUAUCAAUAGUUGCCAGCGGUUCGGCCGGGCACU
rnacentral:rRNA from 1 species